rnacentral:ncRNA from 1 species
GCAAAGUCCGCGCCGUCAGGUGCCCUCCUUUGCCGGGGGGAUAAUCGGGAAGUCGGGGCAGAACCGACGCGGGCCCGCCGCUGUAAGAGGGACGAAUUGGCACAGGCCACUGGAGCACUCCGGGAAGGCGCCAACUUCGGAUGAACUCAAGCCAGAAGACCGGCCUGACGACAUGGCGCGCG